GACAGAGGUGCCAAGCGUUAGGCGGAAUCACUGGGCUUAAAGCGUGUGUAGGCGGAAUGGUAAGUACCUUGUGAAAUCCCAUAGCUCAACUAUGGAACUGCUUGGUAUACUGCUUUUCUUGAGCCACUUAGGGGCUACCGGAACAAAUGGUGGAGCGGUGAAAUGCGUAGAUAUCAUUUGGAACGCCAAUGGUGAAAACAGGUAGCUGGGAGUGUGCUGACGCUGAGACACGAAAGCCAGGGGAGCGAACGGG
rnacentral:rRNA from 1 species